rnacentral:rRNA from 1 species
AGAGUUUGAUCCUGGCUCAGGAUGAACGCUGGCGGCGUGCCUAACACAUGCAAGUCGAACGGAGUCAUUUUGGAAAGUUCUUCGGAACUGGAAUCUAUGACUUAGUGGCGGACGGGUGAGUAACGCGUGAGCAAUCUGCCUUUCAGAGGGGGAUAACAGCCGGAAACGGCUGCUAAUACCGCAUAACGCAUCGAGGUCGCAUGAUUUUGAUGCCAAAGAUUUUAUCGCUGAAAGAUGAGCUCGCGUCUGAUUAGCUAGUUGGCGGGGUAACGGCCCACCAAGGCGACGAUCAGUAGCCGGACUGAGAGGUUGAACGGCCACAUUGGGACUGAGAUACGGCCCAGACUCCUACGGGAGGCAGCAGUCGGGAAUAUUGCGCAAUGGAGGAAACUCUGACGCAGUGACGCCGCGUGCAGGAAGAAGGUUUUCGGAUUGUAAACUGCUUUAGACAGGGAAGAAAAAAGACAGUACCUGUAGAAUAAGCUCCGGCUAACUACGUGCCAGCAGCCGCGGUAAUACGUAGGGAGCAAGCGUUAUCCGGAUUUACUGGGUGUAAAGGGCGUGUAGGCGGGCUUGUAAGUUGGAAGUGAAAUCUGGGGGCUUAACCCCCAAACUGCUUUCAAAACUGCGAGUCUUGAGUGAUGGAGAGGCAGGCGGAAUUCCCAGUGUAGCGGUGAAAUGCGUAGAUAUUGGGAGGAACACCAGUGGCGAAGGCGGCCUGCUGGACAUUAACUGACGCUGAGGCGCGAAAGCGUGGGGAGCAAACAGGAUUAGAUACCCUGGUAGUCCACGCCGUAAACG